GGACCCGCACAAGCGGUGGAGCAUGUGGUUUAAUUCGAUGCAACGCGAAGAACCUUACCUGGUCUUGACAUCCUGCGAACUUUCUAGAAAUAGAUUGGUGCCUUCGGGAACGCAGUGACAGGUGCUGCAUGGCUGUCGUCAGCUCGUGUCGUGAGAUGUUGGGUUAAGUCCCGUAACGAGCGCAACCCCUAUCCUUAUUUGCCAGCACAUCAUGGUGGGAACUAUAAGGAGACUGCCGGUGAUAAACCGGAGGAAGGCGGGGACGACGUCAAGUCAUCAUGGCCCUUACGACCAGGGCUACACACGUGCUACAAUGGGAAGGACAAAGAGCCGCGAAGCCGCGAGGUGUAGCUAAUCUCACAAAACCGAUCGUAGUCCGGAUUGCAGUCUGCAACUCGACUGCAUG
rnacentral:rRNA from 1 species